rnacentral:rRNA from 1 species
CAGUAGCCACGGUAAUACGUAGGUGGCAAGCGUUGUCCGGAAUUAUUGGGCGUAAAGGGCUCGCAGGCGGUUUCUUAAGUCUGAUGUGAAAGCCCCCGGCUCAACCGGGGAGAGUCAUUGGAAACUGGGAAACUUGAGUGCAGAAGAGGAGAGUGGAAUUCCACGUGUAGCGGUGAAAUGCGUAGAGAUGUGGAGGAACACCAGUGGCGAAGGCGACUCUCUGGUCUGUAACUGACGCUGAGGAGCGAAAGCGUGGGGAGCGAACAGGAUUAGAUACCCCCGUAGUCCCUGUCUCUUAUAC